rnacentral:rRNA from 1 species
GUCCACGCCCUAAACGAUGUCUACUAGUUGUCGGGUCUUAAUUGACUUGGUAACGCAGCUAACGCGUGAAGUAGACCGCCUGGGGAGUACGGUCGCAAGAUUAAAACUCAAAGGAAUUGACGGGGACCCGCACAAGCGGUGGAUGAUGUGGAUUAAUUCGAUGCAACGCGAAAAACCUUACCUACCCUUGACAUGGACGGAAUCCUGAAGAGAUUUGGGAGUGCUCGAAAGAGAGCCGUUACACAGGUGCUGCAUGGCUGUCGU